rnacentral:rRNA from 1 species
GAUGAACGCUGGCGGCGUGCCUAACACAUGCAAGUCGAGCGAACGGACGAGAAGCUUGCUUCUCUGAUGUUAGCGGCGGACGGGAGAGUAACUCGUGGACAACCUACCUAUAAGACAGGGAUAACUUCGGGAAACCGUAGCUAAGACCGGAUAAUAUUUUGAACCGCAAGGUUCAAACGUGAAAGUCGGUCUUGCUGUCACUUAUUGAUGGACCCGCGCUGCAUUCGCUAGUUGGUAAGGUAACGGCUUACCAAGGCAACGAUGCAUAGCCGACCUGAGAGGGUCGUCCGCUACCCUGUAUGUGAGGCUCGUUCCCGACUCCUGCAGUGGGCAGCAGUAGGGAAUCUUCCGCGAGGGACGAGUGCCUAACGUAGCGACGCCGCGUGAAUGAUGAAGGUCUUCUGAUCGUAGAACUCUGUUAUUAUGAAAGUUCAUAUGUGUUAGUACCUGUGCACAUCUUGACGGUACCUGGUCAGAAAGCCCCGGCUAACUUCGUG